UACGUAGGGGGCAAGCGUUGUCCGGAAUCAUUGGGCGUAAAGAGCGCGUAGGCGGCCCUGUAAGUCCGCUGUGAAAGUCAAGGGCUCGACCCUUGAAUGCCGGUGGAUACUGCAGGGCUAGAGUCCGGAAGAGGCGAGUGGAAUUCCUGGUGUAGCGGUGAAAUGCGCAGAUAUCAGGAGGAACACCGAUGGCGAAGGCGGCAUCCUGGACCAACACUGACACUGAGGAGCGAAAGCCAGGGGAGCAAACGGG
rnacentral:rRNA from 1 species